AAGACUAUAGACCUGCGGAGUACCUGCGGAGGGAUCAUUACAGAGUUGCAAAACUCCCUAAACACUUGUGAACCUACCCGUAUCGUUGCUUCGGUGGGCGGCCCCAGGGCGGGGCCGUAGCCUUUACAGGCGCCCGCCGAAGGUUAUAAACGCUAUAUUUUAUUGUCGCUCUGAGUAAACUUUUAAUAAGUUAAAACUUUCAACAAUGGAUCUCU
rnacentral:misc_RNA from 1 species